rnacentral:rRNA from 1 species
GUGGGGAAUAUUCCGCAAUGGACGAAAGUCUGACGGAGCAACGCCGCGUGAGUGAUGAAGGUCUUCGGAUUGUAAAGCUCUGUUAAUCGGGACGAAAGAGCCUAGUGUGAAUAAUGCUAGGAAGUGACGGUACCGGAAUAGAAAGCCACGGCUAACUACGUGCCAGCAGCCGCGGUAAUACGUAGGUGGCAAGCGUUGUCCGGAAUUAUUGGGCGUAAAGCGCGCGCAGGCGGAUCUGCCAGUCUGUCUUAAAAGUUCGGGGCUUAACCCCGUGAUGGGAUGGAAACUACAGAUCUAGAGUAUCGGAGAGGAAAGUGGAAUUCCUAGUGUAGCGGUGAAAUGCGUAGAUAUUAGGAAGAACACCAGUGGCGAAGGCGACUUUCUGGACGAAAACUGACGCUGAGGCGCGAAAGCCAGGGGAGCGAACGGGAUUAGAAACCCUUGUAGUCC